rnacentral:lncRNA from 1 species
AAUCUAAUUCAGUCCAAAGUGAGAAAACGCGUCAGAAAAGGAAACGCCGGAGGUCGGUGCGGAUCGUGGCUGGGUGGGCGCUGGGCCGAGAAAAAUUUGGUCUUCGUUUCUCUGCUGCGCUGGAAGCUACGGGACAGGAAACACCGGGGAAACCCGGGGACUCGAAAUCGCACUGUCCUCACUCUGGCCUGGGCGGGACUCUGCACCCCCAGGCCGCGGCCCCCACCCCACCGACCUCCAGGCCGCUGCCCACCUCUGCCCUUGGGUCCCUGGCCGGCUCCUCCUGUCCCCCUGAGCUGGGGAGGCCCAGGCCGCCGGGGCCCGGAGGUGGCCCUGGGGAGGCGGGAUCCCACCGCAAUUGGAGACCGAACUUGUGUUCUAGUUCGGGGGGCUCUCUCCUCCCACGCGCGCUGUCUCCAAUUUGGUCAUCCUCGCCGGCCGGUCGCCACCCGCUCAGGUCAAGGUUCCCCGCGCCCCCAGGGGCGCCUAGGGCUGGGGGAAGGGCGGGCAGGAGGCCUGGGCCCUGUUUUCGCCGGUUGGCUUCAGCCGGAGCACCGGGGCCCCACUCCCUCCGAGCUCCGGUUCUGUGCACUGCUGUCUCCCGGCUGGACGCUCUGGCCUGGACUACCGCCCGCCACUCCCAGGAGCCUGGGUGAUGGACGUCCGCUGACCCGCGGGGCAGAGGCAGCGCGCACAGGCCUUGAUCACUGGCCUGCGGAGGGAGCCGUGCGGCCAGCGGGACCUGCACGGCCGGGCCCUUUGAUCUGUCUUUAUUAUCAACGAGAAACAAAGCUGCCUGAGCCCGACGCCCGGGCGCCCGCGUUCCUCGGGAGACCCACCACACCCUCUACUCCGCGCCGCCAACCCGCGGCCCCCAAACGCGCCAGGCACCCUCUGGGCUCCAGCGCCCCGGCCCGAAGCCCCUCCAGAAAACGCGCCGCUGCCAGCCGGUUCUCCAGAAGACCAUCCCCCCAACCAGAGGCGCGUGGGGAGUGGUGGGCUCCCGGUUAUGAACAACAUGAGCCGGGAGAGAAAAUGGCUAAAGUGAAGAAAAACUCGAGGAAGAAGAGCGGGGCAGCCUGGCUGCACGGUGCGCAAGGAGGAGGAAGAGGCCCUUGA